GAUGAACGCUGGCGGCGUGCCUAAUACAUGCAAGUCGAGCGAACAGACGAGGAGCUUGCUCCUCUGACGUUAGCGGCGGACGGGUGAGUAACACGUGGAUAACCUACCUAUAAGACUGGGAUAACUUCGGGAAACCGGAGCUAAUACCGGAUAAUAUAUUGAACCGCAUGGUUCAAUAGUGAAAGACGGUUUUGCUGUCACUUAUAGAUGGAUCCGCGCCGCAUUAGCUAGUUGGUAAGGUAGCGGCUUACCAAGGCAACGAUGCGUAGCCGACCUGAGAGGGUGAUCGGCCACACUGGAACUGAGACACGGUCCAGACUCCUACGGGAGGCAGCAGUAGGGAAUCUUCCGCAAUGGGCGAAAGCCUGACGGAGCAACGCCGCGUGAGUGAUGAAGGUCUUCGGAUCGUAAAACUCUGUUAUUAGGGAAGAACAAAUGUGUAAGUAACUAUGCACGUCUUGACGGUACCUAAUCAGAAAGCCACGGCUAACUACAUG
rnacentral:rRNA from 1 species